rnacentral:rRNA from 1 species
CUUUUACAACGAAGAGUUUGAUCCUGGCUCAGGAUGAACGCUAGCGACAGGCCUAACACAUGCAAGUCGAGGGGUAACAGGGAAGCUUGCUUCCGCUGACGACCGGCGCACGGGUGCG